UGGUUUGAACUUGUUUUCGGUUUCAGGACGUGAAACAUGUAAAGGAGGAGCCUGCAAAGGCCGGUAAAGGUUCAUCAAUGUGGCCAUGAGCAUCAACCCUGAAGCGAAAAUGUAUUCAUUCCCAUCAUCAUGUGUUGGGGGAGUAGGACGAAUUGGAGCACCAAGUAGAAGAGAAGUUGGUCACUGUACACUAGCAGAACGAGCCCUAAAAUAUAGUAUAGCUGAUGAUAUUACUGAAAUUUAAUGAUGCAGGUUGCUGGCAAUGAAGAUAGAGUAACAACAUUUCAAAUGGAUAUAAAGGAGAGAACAUUGCUGCUGAACUGGGCACCGUUUGAAGUUACUUGCGCAAAUUGCAAAAGACGAAUUUUGUACCGCUUCAAACCCAAGAUCCAUGGCUGAACAAUUUACAACAAUGUCAUGCAAAUGGUUUGCCAUCCUCAUGGGUCAAUAAAAGAUUCUUUUUGUUCCACCACCAGCAAGAGAUCCGAGAUUGUUUUUUUGACUUUUGUUUCGUUUACGUAUGGUUUGACUUAGAAAUUGUUGUUUGCUUUACUUAUGAAUUGAUUUUGAAAUGGUUGUUUGAUAUUGUGUUGGCUGCUUCAUUUUGUAUUAGUGUUGCAGUUCAUUUUAGUUAAUUAACAGUUAGUAUGGAAUUACUUUUAAAUUUUGAUCUUUGUUUG